CAGCCGCCGCGGUAAUACGUAGGUGGCGAGCGUUGUCCGGAAUUAUUGGGCGUAAAGGGAGCGCAGGCGGACAUAUAAGUCCAUCUUAAAAGUGCGGGGCUCAACCCCGUGAGGGGAUGGAAACUGUAUGCCUUGAGUGCAGGAGAGGAAAGCGGAAUUCCCAGUGUAGCGGUGAAAUGCGUAGAUAUUGGGAGGAACACCAGUGGCGAAGGCGGCUUUCUGGACUGUAACUGACGCUGAGGCUCGAAAGCCAGGGGAGCGAACAGGAUUAGAGACCCCCGUAGUCCCUGUCUCUUAUACA
rnacentral:rRNA from 1 species